UUUACACGCAAGUCAUAUUAGCGGUAUAAGCUAUACUAAAAAUAACAUUUUCUGUGUUUUCUUUUUACCUAAACAACAUUUUUCUGUGUUAUUAUGCGAUUGUUGUACUUUUGCAUCGACACGUGUCCGAACCGUAGUGGAAAAAAUGUGUCGGUAGUAGCAGAACUUAGGUGAGGGGUUUGGUAUACAAGAUAAAUAAUGGAGGGCAUGGUGAUAUAUCGUCGUUGUUGCACUACUCCCUGACUUCACGAGAGGGUUAGAAUCUGUAGCUUUGUUUUGGCCUACUUUGAUUGAAAGAAAACAUGGAGUUUGAUGUUAAAGUGUCGUUUUUAACAAUAUUGUAAAGCCCUCGGACUAAAGCCAGUUGACCCCAUGGGAUGAAUACAUAAAGGUCACGGGAUGAAUACAUAAGAACAUCUUCACCCCUCUUCUAUAAUAGAAAUCUCUAAAAUAAAAAUAAAAGAAAGAAUAGAGAUGAAACUGUUUCUCCAAUGUGUUUUUCUAUAACAUAAUAAGAAUGAUAUGCUUACCUCUAUUAUAAGAAAAACACAUUGGAACAAAGCUUUUAUCUCUAAUUUUUCCUCUAUUUUAGAGAUUUCUAUUAUAGAAAUGAGUUGGAAAUAGUUUAAAGCAAAGAGUUGGACUAGUAAAAUGUGACAUAAAAAGAACAAAUAGUGUUGUUGUCCAAAAAAAAUAAGAAAAGAGUAGAGCUGGGUUGCGGGUCAAACCCGCCCCGCUGACCCGCCAACCCGCGGGUAAACUGAUUUUUUUUACUUAAAAAAUUUGACCCGCUUGACCCGCAAGAAGAAAAUAUGAAAUCCGCACCCGCCCCGCUAAAACCCGCGGGUGAUCCGCUAGACCCGCGGAUAAUAUUAAUAAUAUUAAAAAUUAUUAAUUUAAAUAUUUUUUAUUAAAAUAACAAUAAAAUUUAAUAUUUUAAAUAUUUUUUAUUAAAAAUAACAAUAAAAUUUAAUAUUUUCAAUAUUUUUUAUUAAAAAUAAUAAAUAUUAAUCUAUUUAUAAUUAAAAUUAAAUUAUUUUUUAAAAAUUUUCUAUUUAAAAAUAAUAUUUUCAAAAAAAAUCUUUUUUUUUUAGUUUUUGCGGGUUGGCGGGUACCCGCACUGAAUUUUGGCUGAUCCGCACCCGCCCCGCAUAAAAAUCACUCAACCCGCACCCGCACCCGCGAACCAAAAUUUUCAAAUUACUCGACCCGCACCCGCCCCGCAGCGGGUCAAAUGGGGCGAGGCCCGCGGAUAAUGAUUCAUAUUCCCAGCACUAGAAAAGAGCAAAAAAUGUUUGAAAUUACAAAGGAGAAGCUAAAGGAAACAUGAUUAUAAAUUUAUAUUAAACAGAAUCUUCAUUUUCCCCUUAAUACAUUUUACAAGUUUGUUUUCUAAGCAUUUCCAAUUUCUCCACCACAAAAUUCACAAUGUUUUGUAUUAAACCAAAUAAUGGCCUCUAGUGUCAAUAUUAUACGUCCAAUGAUUACAAAAAAAAUCUCAUUACCAAUUUCGAAAACCUGCGUCUCAAACCCGAUCUAUCUUCUCUAAGAAAAAUAUCAAAGUAUAAGGAUCCAAGUUGCAAAACAGAAAAAUAAUUUUGGACAAAACUCGUGGAAUAUGUUAAACUUUAGCAUUCGUUCGCCAGUGGCUGUUUAUCACAGCUAUGGAGCUGAUCAAUACAAUACUAAAAGGGGAAUAAGGGCUCCCCUCAUGCUUCCACGUCAUCACAAAUAAUCAGCCAAUAGGAAACCACUGAUCAGCCACGUCAGAUGCAGCGCACAUUGCAUUUGGGCCUCACAUCAAAUCGGCCCGAUAGUGUUUGAAAUCCGAAAGCCCGGAGAGUCCAUGUAUCGGUGAAGUCUUCUGUGCGAUCUUCGAUCCCCUUUGUCUUCCUGUUCCGUCGAUUCCCUUUUUCUUCCUCUUCUCCGUUUAUUACGUUUCACAAAUCUUUAUCGUGGACGAUCAAUUUUAUCCCCACUCUACUGAACUUUAAAUCUCACUAAUGGAUCUUUAUCACUUUCUCCGUCCAGCUAUCGAUUUCAAAGGUAUGAUGUCGGGAUUUCGCCAUGCCGGUGUGUCCAAGAUCGGCGUUGGAUCCAUCACCUGUUACCACCAGAUCCGCGCCUACGGAGUUGUCCCGCGGCCUUAAACGGUGGCUCUGAAACAGAGACCAACUCCGAAACCCUAGCUUCACGGAUCUGCUCAAGCCUCCAAUCGUCGCUUAGGUCUGAGAAUCACAAGCAGACGCACUCCCAAGACGGCGGGGAAUAAGCUGGACCGAAGAGAAACAAAUGAGAGAGAACCGCCAUCCCUCACCGUAGAUUCGUCGACACCAUCUCCGUCCAGCUACGACCUCUGAACUUCAUCACUUAUUAAUUCAAUCUCCAUCAAUCAUCAAUCAUCUUCACCACCCUUAGCAUUCAGAAGUAUCUUCUGAUUAGCCAAUUAUAGCAGUGGAUCUCCCAAAUUCCUUUUAUCUCGCGUUUUCAGCGGUACUCAUACCAGCCACCGUGAUAACUAUCUCACUGGUGUCUCUGUUGGGGACUGUCCACGUUUAGGGUACAUCAAAGUUUAGAAAUUUGACGGAGUCAUUGCAUAUACACUUGGUGGAGUGCAGUCCCGCGUUGCAGAAACUUCAGCACCAGAACCUGAAGUGCACAGAAGAAAGUAGUUUGGAGAAGAAAGCUAUAAGUUCACUAGCUGGGACACCUGUGCACUGGCACACUACUCUUGAAGAGGUACCAUCAGGAGUACCAACAAUAAUCAUAGCUCAUGAGUUCUAUGAUGCUCUUCCAGUUCAUCAGUUUCAGGUUUGUGUGAUUUGCAAUAUAGUCUUCUCAUUUUUCCAGCUUGUGCUUCUCUUUCUGGUUAUUUUCUAUGUUCUGUGUAUGUUGCUUUCAAAGCAGUUCAUCUUGAAGAAACAACAUGAAGCUCUCCAGAAGCAACAAGGUCAGUCUUACGCACCUAAUGAAGAGAUGGAUGAGAGUCUUCAUGUAGCGACAAGUGGACGAUCACAUGGGCACGGGGAGUUUGAAUUCAGCGAGAUCUUUGUGCAUCGGUUUUUUCACACCAUAGAAUUUUUUGCUUAGAGCUGUUUCCAACACCUCUUCUUACCUGCGUAUAUGGGCUCUCAGUCUUCACACUCGGAGAUAUCGUCAGUCUUCUAUGAGACUAUGAGAAGGUCGCCCUUCUCGCUUGGGGUACAACAAUGUGUUGAUCCUGAUCGUUGGGAUCAUUGUUUUCAUAUUGUGGGAUUGCUGCUGGUGAUAGAGACACUGAGCACGUUCCUUCGCGCACUGCGUCUCCACUUGGUGGAGUUUCAGAACAAAUUCUAUGCUCAUUUCUCUUUCGUUCUCACCGGAAACGAAGACGAUUGAUAGGGAUGAAUGAUUGUUCCAUUCCUAUCCCAUUCUCUGCAAAAUUUGCAUAUAUAAAAAAGGAACAAGACAAACCAAGUUUUAUUUAUUUUCUGCGAAUAUAUUUUUCCCCUUCCACUUUCAGGGUGGACAGAAUUAAAUAUGUUUAUUUUGUUUGCCUGUCUGGAGAUUAGAUUUUUUUAAACAACAGUAGAGAAGGGGCUAAUGGAAUUUGUAUAAGGUAAACUCAUUUGUUGAUGUGUUUGUUUGGAGUUAAAUACGUGAGGAUUUGUUUCCACUUACUAUACAGUUCAUCUACUGAAAAUUGUUUGUCAAUAAGGAAUCAAAUACUCGACAAAUCACUUUUCUUUAUCGAGAUAACACAACUUCUAGAAUCUCUAACAGUUUGUUUGGAAUUGGUGUUGUUGUCUGCAGGCACAAUCCUUUUUGCGAGAGUCAAUCCUUUUUGAUGAGGUCCUAUAACAAAUUAAGGUACUUUAACUAAGUUCUCUCUUACAAACAAAUAGAAAGUAAACUAGAAUAAUGAUUUGUUUCAGAAUUUACAAUUUUGCUUAUCUAAAUACAGGUGAGAGCCUGAGAGAGUUUGGCAUAUUAACUUUGCUUAGGGUUUUGUUUUUUUUCUUCAUCUGUUUUAGGAGUUGAAUAAUAUUUUGACAGACUUGAGUGUGCCAGUCUUUACUUAUGAGAUAUUAUGUGUGUUGAGCCAAAUAAAAUGUGUUUUGGUUCUAUACACGUGAUUGAAUAUUUCUCUUCUUUUUUUUUUACAUUUUGUGUGGAAGUACAUUUGCUUAUUGUUAGCUUGAGGUUCAGUUUCUAAUGUCACUCAGAUCACAAUGGAAUAAUAUAUAACAUUUCAGAUUUUUGCAUAUUUGAAAUUUUUUGCAGCAAAUUAAACGUACUGUCUGGUCUUAUACAAAAACAAAUUUCUCUAUUCAAAUAGAAACAUUAGAUUUCUUCAGGUGCAAAAAGCUGAUGUGGUGUGAAAUUUGUUGAUUAUGAUCUGUUUUUAACGUAAAAUGUACAUUUAGUAGUCACACAGUAAGUUAAAGUGAUCAACCUUCUCUCAUUUUCAGUUACCACAAUUGGUUAAGAAUGGAUUAGUAAUAAUAUAUUCAAAUUUAAACGAUUUUGUAACUGUCAUAGUGGUAAAAAAUAAAAAGGGAAUAUCUAAAUUAGAUUUCUUACAUUAAUCAAUUUAUUUAUUUUUAUGUGUUAAAAUGUUGUUUGGAAAUCAUAUCCUAACUUUAAUUAGGAAGAAGUUAAAAAUUUAUGAAUGGUGCUAUUGUUAAAAAUUCUUAAAAAAAAACGGAGUUUGUCAAUAAAAUCGUACCAUAAGUUAUGUAAGUUUGGUUGAAUAUCUAAAAAUUAAGACAUGGAAGGAGUCACUGGAUAUCAAUACAAAGAUUCAUGUUUUGCCUCUAUAUGCAUAAUAAAUAUAUAUAUAUAUAUAUAUAAACAUACCUGAAGCGAAAAAUAAAUAGAUUUUGAUUAAAUGAAAAAAAGUUUCACAUCAAAUUUGUAGAAACAUAGAUAUAAAGAAGCUUAAGGAACAAAAGUAAUCACUAAAUUACAUAUUAACUUAGAAUUUGUAAAAUCUUACAAUAUUUAUUUAAAAAUGUUUGCUAUAAUAACGUCUCCUCCAUAUAUAUUAACAAUCAUGCGUACUCAGUUGCGGUAACAAAGAACAUAUGAAAAAAAUUGUAUAAAAAAAAAUGAGAAAACGCUAUUUUGAACUAAAUGCUUAAAAGUCAUAAAAAAUGGAUACAGAGAGAUGUAAUCUCCAUAAAUGUGCAGAGCAAUGUGUAGAAACUACAUGACAUUUUUUUGUCAAUGCAAAAAGAUACAAUCUUGACAUGAAUAUGAAAACGGAUCACAGUAUAACCCCAACAUAAGAAUACAACCCAAUUUAAUAACAAAAUACACACCUAGGAUAUUAUUUUCUUAACUUAAACUCCAGAAAAGUCUACAUAAAAAGUUCAUCAAUCACAACAAUGCUAAAAAACACGUAAAAAUAAUGAAAUAUAAUAAAUAAUUGAGAUUUAUAGAAAUAGUUGUCAAAUGUUGAUCUUAAGAUUAUUUAGGUUUAUGAAUGCUUUUCCAUAUUUAGAGUGAAAGCUAUAAGCACAAAAUAUGAUUUUUUUUAAGAUGACACGUAUUAGAUGACAUACAUUUGGAAGACUAUUAAACUAUAUUAUAAUUUUACAAUACAUUGUAACAGUUUUAGUGUCACUUUUAAGUAUUAUAGCAAAUCUUAUUUUGAAUCUCAUAUGAUCCAGUCAAGAGAGGUCAUGUUAAAUCCUCGCAUUUUCCCUUGGUUUCAGGACAUAACUAAUGAUAUAUUUUCAAGAUUACUAUGGUUGGAGUCUUGGAGUAUUGAACAUGUUAUUCCAAGGAGGAAUAUACAGUGUUACAUGCGAGAAUAGGGCAUCACUCCUACAUUGAUGUGGCUGGUCCGGCUUGGUUGCAUUCGAUGCUUGCUCAAUAAAGCGGAAAUGCUUGAAACCCGUAUCUACCAUCAAACAUCUACCAACAACAUCAUAUGAAGCAGGUAAAAGAAUAGACACACACGAUGUAAGAGCUUAUUUAGAGAUACUGGUGAUUCCAUGAUUACAAACAAUUUUGAAUUCAUUAGAGAAUAAAACAUACGAUGAAGCGUGAUAGUGAAUUUGUCGAAGAAGACAAAGUAGUGAUUGCUCAUUAAGAAGUCCAUGAUGCUGCGUUUGGAGGAUGUGCCAGAAAGAGAGAAGAAGACGGUAAAGAAGCAAAAGAAAAUGUUGAAAAUGGUAGCCAAGGCUUUGGGUGCGCUAGAGAGGACAAAGAGACACAAACUAGCUCAGUGAGUAAAUCAUGCCGAAAAAUUACUUGUGAUAUAGUUUGGAAUUGUAAUAUGCAGAACAUGAUCGUAUUAUUAUCGUGAGAAAUUAUGUACUUGUGUUUUGUCUCAAUUCCACCAUGUUAGUUUAUUGCAGUGUUCUUUGUACUCUUUACAUUACUUGGCCUUUAACCGGAAUUACAUCUUUGAUCUAAAUGUACAAUCUUUAAUUUAGGUAUUUAAACAAUCGGAAAGAAACUAACAAAAGAAAGACUUAGACUUUAACAAAGAGAAGUAGAAUGAAAGAGAUGAACCACACAAGAUAAAAAAAGGAAAAAUCAGUUAAUGAGCUUUGGCCUUCUCUUUAAAUACACCUACAAGAUUAACCGUCUUUGUAAGACCAGUUUUACUUGCUUUGGAAAUUGUUGAUAGAGCUCCAUCUUUCUUGGAAAAGGCAAUUAAGAUUUGUAUAGGAUUAAGGAAAUUUGACAAAACCAUCAAAGAAGACAAACUAAUACCACAUUAAACAAUAACGACCAACAAACGUUUUAAAAUUUCUGUUCACAAAAGAAUAAAGAAAUAUUAAAAAUCAAAAUAGUAUAUGGUGUUUACGAAAACAAAUAUUAAAGGCUCGAAGUAAGAAAAAAACUAAUCGUCUAAAUCACAAAAAAUUUUAAAUGGAAAUUAAAAUAAUAAGGCUAUAUCGAAUUAGAAAUCAUUUUUAUUUUUAAUUUGUGAUAUUAGUACAAGAUUGUUGAAUGUUUUUACUGGACAUGAAAAAAAUAAUAAGAUAAUAAUGUUUUUGGAUCAUAGUUUUGGACUGAAAAUAUAUUCAAAAUUCCCCUAAUUAGUAUAUACAAUUCAUUUUUAAUAACAGCAUUAACAUGAUUGUAGUUUAAAAAAUAGUAAUUUUAGAACAAACUAAUAUAUAAUAAUAAAAUUUAAAUAAAUAGUGAUAUAUUUAGAAUAGUUUGAUUAUCAUUUUACACUGAAUUUUAAUCCAGAAUAAUAUUUUAACUAUAGCUAGAUUUUAAGAUAUUUUUGUUUAUAACUAAUACAAUAAUAUAGUAAUAAUAAUUCCUGACAAAAAAUAGUAAUAAUAAUAUUUUAUAGAAUUUUCAGUGUAUUUAAGACAUACAACAUUUUUAAAAGUUUUUUAAUUUAAAGCAAUGAGUAUUUAAAUUAGCCUUAUGUAUUAUAAUUGUAAAAAUUUUUAUUAUAAUCGUAAGAAAAUAUAUUUUAAAAGAUUAAAUUGCAUAUAAAAAAAACAUAAUUAUGAUAUAAAUAAUACAUAUAACAAAGAAAUAUGUGAUGUGGAGAUUAAAAAUAUAUUUUCUUAAUAACCUAAAUAUGUAAUAAAAUAUAUUUUGGAGAAUUACUAAGGUUUAGCAAAAAAAAUUAUUCAUUUCACAUUUGUUCACCAUCCCAUACAUAUUUUAGAUAGUGGAAAAAUUGUAAGUUUUACUGAUUAUAAUUCAGUUUAUUAUUUAUAUUUUAUAACAUAUAUGUAAUAUAUUGUAAUAUAGAUAUUAAAUACAAUAUUAUUUGAAUAAACCCGGGCGUAGCCCGGGUAAAAUCUCUAGUCUUGAAUAAGAGAGAAACAAAGUAGAGAGAGAGAGUGUAACAAACUUUAUUAAUCUCACAUUAACCGUAAAAUGUAUGUACAUUGUAGUUUUAUACUGUACAGUAAAUACAGAAAAAUAUACAAAAAGUGUAUGUAUAUAUAGUAAUACUGUUGAUGCGACAGAACGACUGAGGCAGCAAGGAUGAAACGACGCCUAGUAGAGCUUUGAGACAAGGCUUGAGAGACCGGCUGGUCUGUCAAAUAUCUCAUCGGGCUUCAGAGAUCUGCGGGUCUGUCGGAGAUCUCGUCGGGCUUGUUCUGAGUGUCAUAUGUUAACUUUGCAGAACAAGCUAGAGUAAUCAAUUUAUGUUGAGUAGUCUCACAAUUUCAAUAGCGUACAAAUCAAUUCUAAAUCACCAUUGAUGCCAGCAAUGAAUUAGUACUAGGGAUGAUUCUCUCUGCAAGUGAAAAAAUUGAAACGCAGGAAGCUGAGGAUAUUCUCUCUCAAUGUGAAGACAUUAUAAAGAAGGAUGCUGAAGGUAGCAGCAGCAGCCACAGCGAAGUGAAUAGCUGCCAUGCGAGCAAUAAAUUAGUGCUAGCGAUUAUUCUCCGUCUAUUUCGAUACAUUAAAAAGAAGGAAGCUUAAGGUAGCAGCAGCAAAAAGAGAAGUGGAAAACAUUGAAACUGAGACUAACAUCACCGAUGUUGAUGUCCGUCUACUACAGGUUUUCUAAGAAAAGUAUUCGUGGGCUUUAUUUUGGUUUGUUGUCUUAUUUGUUAAGCUAGGGUUUCGUUUAGUAUUUUCUAUUUAAGAAGAAAACCUUAGGCUAUAUUUGUAAGGCAGCUUUGUUAUUUUAAUAAACUGAGAUUCCUCUUAAACUCUUGUUUUUAAUUCGACUUAAUCCAUCAAAACAGAAAGCUGAUCUCAAAUGGUUCUUUGAAUCCCUUGAUUGAGCAAAACAGGUCCUAAAAAGGAUUAUGGCAGAUCUCACAAAGAAAUUACAACAACUCAAAACAUUUAUUAACGUCUCUUAUUAGGAUUUUUUAAUGACGUUUUGGUUUCAUGCGUGCAGCUUAUAUCAAAGUGAAUUUAAUGGCAUAUUUAACGAAUAUAUGAAGCCUAAGAGCAUCAUUAUAUUAGGGUUUCUUAAUGAUUAUUUAAGUAUUUAAAUUUAUUUAAGAACUCUAGUUAAAAAAAAACUAUUCGAUUUUGUGCUCCCAUGGUAGUUUCUUAACUAAGGGUUCUUAAAAAAAAAAUACCAAACUUUUUUUGAUUAAUACUAAAAUUUAUUUAUUAAAUAAAACAUAUUAAAAGAUAAAACUAUAUAUGUUCUUUGGUUUUUUUAAUUUAUUCUUACAUGAUUUUGAAUGGUCAUGGGAGAUUAUUGGUAUCUACAGACCUUCGAGUGAAGAGAGACAUUUUCCAGUAGUUUUUUGUAUAGUUGCUAAAACAAGUUGUGAUGUUGUGUCUUACUCUUUGCUGGUGAAUCCUUUUGAGUUCACAGUUUGUUCAACUCUUGCCAUGUAAAUAAAUCUCUCUCUCUUGUCUCUUCUACUUUGUUCUUGAUGAGGAUCACUUUGUUGUAUUGACAUAUUAAUCUAAUUUAAUUUGCAAAUUUUGCUUCUGUCUCAAGAAGAAAAGAGAGAAGCAACUGGACAACACCAUAAACUCAAUGAUGUCAGGGGACUUAUUAUAAACGGUUGUUGGAAUCGUUUCUUUAAAGGUGCCAGACUUUUGAAAAAAGUAGAACAAGAUUAGUGUCAAAAAUAGGGAGAUCAUUCAAGUAUUACUUAUCUUUGUGGUUGUUACACAAUUCGUGGAACUGUAGAAGUUAAGGCCUAGCCUAAGCUGAGAAAGAACAAAAUAAUUAUGUUGGACCUAGAACAGGACUGUGUAUGGCAAUGAAAAAAUUCCUACUUCAGACAAAAACUGAAAACUAGGAAAACAUGAUUCCCCCGGCUUCUGCAAGUUCAUGACCAUGUCUUUAUUCAUAGUAGACUUGGUAGAAACAUUCUCUUGCCGCCUAGUACCAAGAAGCCAGUCAUCGCUGUUGCUACUGUCUUCUUCAAUGGAGAGACAAGGAAGAACAGGUUCAUCAAACAGUGAACUGUACCGGAAUUCUUUGCUUGUCUUAUGUUUUUUUUUCUUCUUUGAUUCAGAAAGAACUGUAGUCUUGUCACUAUCAAGAGAAGCUAGUUGUCUUUUAGCUUAUUUGUGGGCUUUAUUUUGGCUUGUUGUCUUUUAGCUUAUUUGUUAAGCUAGGGUUUCGUUUAGUGUUUUCUAUCUAAGAAGAAGACGUUAGGCUAUAUUGUAAGGCAUCUAUGCUAUUUUAACAAACUGAGAUUCCUCUU